CAGUAGGUAGUUUAAUUAAUUAAAAUAUUAGUUUUGGAGACUAAAGAUGAUAAUCUUCUUUACUGA
rnacentral:tRNA from 1 species